CGGAUUUUGCUUAUGUUCAAUUUGCGAUUUUUUUUUCUUGGUUUGCUCAGCAGAUUUGUCAGCUCAGUGGGAAGUACAAGCUGUAACCACAGCUGAGCUACUCUCUUCUCAACAAGGGCCCCUGGAACCACGCGGCUCAGGGAAAACUGGGGAAGAGCCAGGAGCAUCUUGGAAGGAGCUGUGGGAUGUGAGUCAGUCAAACGACCAUAGAGACCUUGAACUUCUCUGAGUCCCGUCCCUUCAUAAGCACCAACAAUAGUAGGUCCUUCCCUGGAAGAAUUAAGCAGAAAAUGUCUAAGUGCUUUGCACCCUCGAGUGGCAAAGAGGGAUGCCUGAGACUCUUUGAACCCGAAGCCAAUGUUGUGUCAGCCACAGUGGUUAAGAGCACACGCUGGAGCAAAUCCUGACUCUAUGGCUACUUCCUAGCUGUGUGACUUGGGGACAGUCCUCUGAGACCAUCUGUUCCCGCCUCUGUAACCUAUGGAUAGUAAUAAUACCUACCUCAUAGGGUUGUGAGAGGAUUACAUAAGUCAAGGUAUGUGAAGCUCUUGGCACAGCACCUGGCAGGGAGUAAAGGCUGUAUAAGGACCCCUCUGCUUGUGAAGCACUUAGCACAGCACCUGGCACAGGGUAAAGACUGUAUUAGGAUCCCUUAACUAAAGCUUUUAAAUUGCUGCAUCUUCCCAGUGCAGGUGAUUUGCUGUGCUGACUCCCAUGGGGCCUGGUGACAGGCAAUAGAAAAUGAGUCUCUAAAGUCAUCCACUACUUUUCUCUUUCCUGUCCUCUCUCAAGGCCUGGAUGUGAGUGGUUGCAGUGGUGCAAGGUGAUCAGCUCAUCCCACUUUGUCUAGAACUUCCCAGGUGUUAGCACUGCAAGGCCCAUGCUCUGGGAACCCCUUGGGUCUCAGACAAGCCAGGAGGAGCAAGAUAUGGUGGCAGUUGGGUUUUGUGGGGUCAAGUGUGUGAUUGCAGACGGUAUUUGCUAGAGCUGCUAUAACCAAAUGGCACAGAUGAGGUAGCUUAACCAACAGAACACUAUUUCUCACAGUUGCAGAGUCUGGAUGUCCAAGAUCAAGGUCCUGGUGGGGUUGGUUUCUCCUGAGGCUUCUGUCCUGGAGAAGUGGAGGAGUAAGUCCCUCUUGCGGGGUCCCUAAGGCCACUUAGAGCACAACCGCAGAUAGGCCAGCAGAGAGGCAGAGGAGAUGAAAAGAUGGAUUACACUCAUAGAUCCUGGAGGAGGGAGGCACACCACACCACACAGGGGACCCACACAUGGGAAGAGCAUCCAGGAAGCAAGCUCCCUCAUGGGGUAAGGAGCUGAGACAAAGGACCUGCUGGCCAUGCCUUUACUGGGGGUCAGGGUAGAGUACACCAGCAAGAGGCAUGAAAA
rnacentral:lncRNA from 1 species